rnacentral:rRNA from 1 species
CCUACGGGGGGCUGCAGUAACGAAUCUUCCGCAAUGGGCGAAAGCCUGACGGAGCAAUGCCGCGUGCGGGAUGAAGCCCUUCGGGGUGUAAACCGCUGUCAGGGUUUAGGAACACAAUGACCAAACCCAGAGGAAGGGCCGGCUAACUCUGUGCCAGCAGCCGCGGUAAUACAGAGGGCCCGAGCGUUACGCGGAUUCACUGGGCUUAAAGGGUGCGUAGGCGGCGGCGUAAGUGCUUUGUGAAAUCCCACGGCUUAACCGUGGAAUUGCAUGGCAUACUGCGUCGCUUGAGGCCAGUAGAGGGUGCCGGAACUGUAGGUGUAGCGGUGAAAUGCGUAGAUAUCUACAGGAACGCCGAUGGUGAAGACAGGCACCUGGGCUGGUUCUGACGCUGAGGCACGAAAGCGUGGGGAGCAAACAGGAUUAGAUACCCCGGUAGU